AAUAAUCGCAGUCAUGAGUUUCCGUGUCCAACUUUAAUCGUUCGUCUUAUUUAAUAUUUUUUUAAAAAAAUGCAAAAACAUAUGUAUUCAUGUUUUAUAAUCUAAUAACAAUAAAAAUACUAAUCAUAAAAAAAUUUCAAAUAAGACGGAAGAUAAAAAUUGGACACGGAAACUCAUGGUUGCGCUUAUU
rfam:Oryza sativa Japonica Group DNA, chromosome 4, cultivar: Nipponbare, complete sequence.